rnacentral:rRNA from 1 species
AAUCCAUAGGUUAAUGAGGCGAACCGGGGGAACUGAAACAUCUAAGUACCCCGAGGAAAAGAAAUCAACCGAGAUUCCCCCAGUAGCGGCGAGCGAACGGGGAGGAGCCCAGAGCCUGAAUCAGCAUGUGUGUUAGUGGAAGCGUCUGGAAAGGCGCGCGAUACAGGGUGACAGCCCCGUACACAAAAGCGCAUGUGCUGUGAGCUCGAUGAGUAGGGCGGGACACGUGGUAUCCUGUCUGAAUAUGGGGGGACCAUCCUCCAAGGCUAAAUACUCCUGACUGACCGAUAGUGAACCAGUACCGUGAGGGAAAGGCGAAAAGAACCCCGGCGAGGGGAGUGAAAAAGAACCUGAAACCGUGUACGUACAAGCAGUGGGAGCCCCACCACCAAAGCAUUCUCUGGUGUUGAAGGCCCUGCAAAGCAGCAUCGCGGUGGCGGAGCGUCGUUUGCGACGCCCAACACACAAAACAAGCGGUGAGUGCUUUGGGGUGGGGUGACUGCGUACCUUUUGUAUAAUGGGUCAGCGACUUAUAUUCUGUAGCAAGGUUAACCGUAUAGGGGAGCCGGAGGGAAACCGAGUCUUAACCGGGCGUUAAGUUGCAGGGUAUAGACCCGAAACCCGGUGAUCUAGCCAUGGGCAGGUUGAAGGUUGGGUAACACUAACUGGAGGACCGAACCGACUAAUGUUGAAAAAUUAGCGGAUGACCUGUGGCUGGGGGUGAAAGGCCAAUCAAACCGGGAGAUAGCUGGUUCUCCCCGAAAGCUAUUUAGGUAGCGCCUCGUGAAUUCAUCUCCGGGGGUAGAGCACUGUUUCGGCUAGGGGGCCAUCCCGGCUUA